GAUUCUGGCUCAGGAUGAACGCUAGCUACAGGCUUAACACAUGCAAGUCGAGGGGCAGCAUUGGAGUAGCAAUACUCAGAUGGCGACCGGCGCACGGGUGAGUAACACGUAUCCAACCUGCCGCUUACUCGGGGAUAGCCUUUCGAAAGAAAGAUUAAUACCCGAUGGUAUAAAGAGUUCGCAUGUUCUCUUUAUUAAAGAAUUUCGGUAAGCGAUGGGGAUGCGUUCCAUUAGAUAGUUGGCGGGUAACGGCCCACCAAGUCUACGGUGGAUAGGGGUUCUGAGAGGAAGGUCCCCCACAUUGGAACUGAGACACGGUCCAAACUCCUACGGGAGGCAGCAGUGAGGAAUAUUGGUCAAUGGACGAGAGUCUGAACCAGCCAAAAGUAGCGUGAAGGAUGACUGCCCUAUGGGUUGUAAACUUCUUUUAUAAGGGAAUAAAGUGAGGGACGUGUCCCUUUUUGUAUGUACCUUAUGAAUAAGGAUCGGCUAACUCCGUGCCAGCCGCCGC
rnacentral:rRNA from 1 species